AUUGAACGCUGGCGGCAUGCCUUACACAUGCAAGUCGAACGGCAGCACGGGGUCAACCCUGGUGGCGAGUGGCGAACGGGUGAGUAAUGCAUCGACACGUGCCCUGACGUGGGGGAUAACGUAGCGAAAGUUACGCUAAUACCGCAUAUUCUGUGAGCAGGAACGCAGGGGAUCGCAAGACCUUGUGCUUUAGGAGCGGCCGAUGUCGGAUUAGCUAGUUGGUGAGGUAAAGGCUCACCAAGGCGACGAACCGAAGCGGGUCGGAGAGGAUGAUCCGACACAAUGGGACUGAGACACGGCCCAGACUCCUACGGGAGGCAGCAGUGUGGAAUUAUGGACAAUGGGCGCAAGCCUGAUCCAGCCAUGCCGCGUGAGUGAAGAAGGCCUUCGGGUUGUAAAGCUCUUUCGCGAGGGAAGAAAUCGUACAGGCUAAUAUCCUGUGCGGAUGACGGUACCUUGAUAAGAAGCACCGGCUAACUACGUGCCAGCAGCCGCGGUAA
rnacentral:rRNA from 1 species